ACACUCCUACGGGAGGCAGCAGUGGGGAAUAUUGGACAAUGGGCGCAAGCCUGAUCCAGCCAUGCCGCGUGAGUGAUGAAGGCCCUAGGGUUGUAAAGCUCUUUCACCGGUGAAGAUAAUGACGGUAACCGGAGAAGAAGCCCCGGCUAACUUCGUGCCAGCAGCCGCGGUAAUACGAAGGGGGCUAGCGUUGUUCGGAUUUACUGGGCGUAAAGCGCACGUAGGCGGACUAUUAAGUCAGGGGUGAAAUCCCGGGGCUCAACCCCGGAACUGCCUUUGAUACUGGUAGUCUUGAGUUCGAGAGAGGUGAGUGGAAUUCCGAGUGUAGAGGUGAAAUUCGUAGAUAUUCGGAGGAACACCAGUGGCGAAGGCGGCUCACUGGCUCGAUACUGACGCUGAGGUGCGAAAGCGUGGGGAGCAAACAGGAUUAGAAACCCAUGUACCCAUG
rnacentral:rRNA from 1 species